CGGGGGGACACACCGCUGAGGGUCCAAAUCACAGCUGCUGCUGCAUGAGCUGGGUAGGAAUCAACCCCAAGGAGCCUACUAAUCCUUGUUUCACAAGUCCCUGCUGGCGAUGGUGGAAAACAUUCCGGAAUGGAUUUAAAUGUGACCAUCAUGAUAUACCAGAUUAUUGUUACCGAUAAAUCCUCUCAACAUAGUUGUUCUUACAGUAUAGUUAACUGUUGUCGUACUGCAUGCUGUAGGACUUCUGAUUUAGCAGAUUGAAAGAAUGAUCUCAUUAUCUCCCAGAUUCAGUAUACAAUAGUUACUCAGUCCUUAGCCAAAAGAAUGAUAGGCUGAGUUGCUGCAAUCUGGAGAUAGGGCAAGAGGACUAAUUAAUCUUCUGUUACUGAAACACUGGAUUAGUUGAAAUCGCUCUGCUGUAAGAAACCAGAAGAUGCUGCAACUAUAGAUACAAGAAAAUAAUUAAAAAUCUAAAAGAUACGAAAAAAUUAAA